CCGUCGUGAGUUUGUAUAGUUAGGCAUAGAAAAGUUCUUGAUUGAUCGAAUUCAGACCUACAUUCGGCGUUGACUUUGCGAAGACCGAAUUUUAAACUCAAAUAAAUCGACGUUUGCCCGUUUGUGAGGAUGCGAAUCAACGCUCCAAAGGAGACAAGAAAAUUACUCUACAUCUUAUUUUAUCUAGCAUUCGUCAAUUUUUAUUUACUACACAAUACGUAAUACUUACAUAAUACACAUAUAAUAUUAUAAAUUACAAUAUAGCGUUGAUUAUAUUCUAAAUCGAUUACACUGUGACGAUGACUUGUCAUUUUAACGCACGUAACAUGCAAACGAUGAUCAAAUAUGAAGUAACUACAUAUCGCUUUCUAAUCAUACAGUCUAAUAAUUAUAUUUCUACUGUUGCCUACACGGUAGACAUGGGCGCCCAUGGCAUGCAAGCAGUUAUCAGUCCAAGCUCGUUGAAAGAAGACGUUAGGAUUCGCCGACAACGUUGUAUACAAAUUUCCAGAAUCCUCCGGUCUCAGGUACAUUCCAGGCGGUAGGACGAAAGUCUCAACAUGCCCUCGCACAUCUGUAAUUGGAUUAAACGGUCAUCCAAAUCAGAAUUCUCACCCGUGCUCUGAUGGCAGGGCAUUUUGGACUCCAAGGUAUCGUUGGGUGGUUUGAAGUGAAAAAAUGAUGGAGAAUAGCCACUGGCCGGCAGCGAACUUAAUCCAUCAUCCCUGGGGUCUCUGUCUCCACGAGCUGUAGCUGCGUUAUUUUCUCUCCCGAGAGCCGCUAACUGUCUCCCCUUCGGGAGAAACAUCAGGAGAAAAACGAGAAGCGAUGUAGCAAGAAGUGCAUAAGCUAACCAUGCUUCACGGUCUUCUUCAGGAGCGGUAAGCGCCCCAACGCCUCCUGAUACCCAAACCGGAAGUGACGCUCCAACUGCAAGUCCGAUGAAGGCUGCCUCCCCAUUAUUGUCUCUCAAACCCCUUGCACGGAUCGCCAGACCCCCUACAGAGACCAAAAGAAGGCUUGCGUACCCCAAAGAUGCUACUAAAUGACCCACAGGAGUACCACAACAAUUAUGCAAUGUCAUAUGGUCAACUGGCAAAAUAGAUGACGACGUCGAUGACACAGGCGACAGAAUAACCGCUCCAUGUAGACUAUUUGGCUGAUCUGCGGUGCUGGCGCUUCCGGAAUCCAAAACGGUGGAUAGCGGGGUUCCAUAAAACCACUGACCAACUAUGGCGACCUGGACGAGAACAGCGAAGACGAGCACCAGGGCCUAUAGAAAUUACAAAAAGAGUUUAAAAG
rnacentral:misc_RNA from 1 species